GGUCUUUGAAAGACAGGCAUAUUGAAAAUGGAGCUGACAUUUAUGCCAUAUUUACACCAAAGGAAAACCUGAAACAGGCUCCUCAAAUACCAAACCGAGAGGUUGCUAAAACCUAUGGAGGCGAUGUGGUUCGAUGCCACAUCAUGCUCAAGGGAGACUUUGAGGUGACGGUGAAGUUGGCAAGUGACACAAUAACAAGUCUGAGACUCAAGCUGGCGAAUGAAAGUGGAAUCCCAGCUCAUGUCCUUCAUUACAAGUAACUCCAUCUCAUUAUCACACACCGUGCUGAACUUCUUCUUCUUCUUUGUCAAUACAUUCAGAUUCCAUUUCUCAUACAGUACUUCUGUUCUCCCCUGCACAGAGGGGAACACAGUGGUGGUGACACUCUGCAAAGUUGUGGGAUCUCCGAAGGGUCGACAGUUGACUUCUCUUUGUCCACCUUUUCUGAGAAGACUUUCCACGAUGAGACAUUCUUCUUUAAUGAUUUUUUGCCUUCAGUCCCACAAACCCAGAAAGGAAUCAGUGUGUUCUUGUCUUCGCUUUAUGUGCUUAAAAGUAAUUCUAUGCAACAAAGCAACCUGAUUUCCUACAUAAGAAAACUGACUGGAUGUCACCCUCUCGCCCAAAGUUUGCAUCAGAUGCUCUGCAGGAACGAAACAGUAACUAGGAAUCAGAAGAUCGCAGUGGUAGAAGGCUUGUACAUACUCUUCAGAGAGCUUUUGCCUCAACGUGGAAGACAACAAGAGGAGAAAGUCAUUAAGGACCUGGAUGUCUUUGAGAAUUCACAGUACUGCUGGGCACAUCUCAUAUCAGAAUCAAAGAAAGAGGCAGGACACCAUGAGAACUAUGCACCAAUCACUCUUAGCUCCGAAGAUGACAGCCGCUUCUCUGAACCAGUCAGAGUACCUGGAGUACCUGGAGCCUUUGAACGAGCAUAUGUUCGCCAGAAAAUGAAAGAUGGAGAGAAAAUUCCGAAUUGCACUGAAGAGGUUUUGCGAGAAACAUCAAUACAGAGAGCCAACGACAUUGAGAAAGUCUUGCUCAGUCUGCCUCCAUCCAUGAGAACAUAUGCUCUUUGGAUUCACCCAGACAAGACGACCGGUCAGAACUUUCAGAUCAACAAGGAGAAGACUUUUGGAAGUAUGGUGGAAGAAUUAAAAUCUCCUCACAAUCAAUACCUCAAUGUGACCCCACCUCUGAGUUUAAAGGCGCUAGGACAUGAGAAUUGCCUUGUUCUACUGAGUGAAGACAACGUGGGCGUGUAUGUGGGUAAAGAUAAAUGUUCCCCUGAAAUGAUCAUGGUUCAUGAUUGUUUGGAUGGCAAAGACAAAACGGUGGAUUUGAACUUGUUGGCAGUGAGGACUGGUGACCAUGGAGAUGAUCGAACAUUUGUCAUAACCAGGACUCCAAAAGAGGCUAUCGUGGUGCUGAUAGACACAAGCUCCUCCAUGGAAGAGCAGCGCUAUGCAGGUGCAGAAAUCAAAAAGAUUAACGCUGUGAAAGAGCUCUUUGACAACUUUGCAACAAGGACCAUGGCUUAUGAUUUUUAUCAUGUCAUCAGCCUUGUGAAGUUCAACUCCGUGGUGAAAGUUCUCCACACAUUUACCGAAAAUCUGGAAACGUUCAAGGAACACAUGCGCAACAUCGAAGCAAGUGGAUGUACUCUGCUGUACGACGCUCUGCGACGUGGGGCGUCUGAGUUGGAAAAGGUCAAGACGAGGUUCCCAGAUUGUAGACUUCGCAUCAUUUGUCUCACUGAUGGAGAUGAUUCUGGAUCCUGCAUUGAGCCAGAUGCCGUUACAGCCAAACUGCUGAAAUCUAACAUCAUUGUUGACUCAAUCCUUCUUGGAGAUGUGGAGAAAACAAACAAUAUGCUGCAUGGAAUCAGCAAUGCAACAGGUGGCUGCUGUUUCAAACCAGAGACAACCAAAGAUGGGCUGAGGCUCUUUGAGAUUGAGACAGUUCUGUCGUUGGAGCAGAGGAAACUCAAGGAAGAACUUGACCCGUCCUCAAUCAGUCAGUCUAGUUUGUCAAAAAUCUUCGCUACUCAUGCGUAUGACGAAUGUCCAGAGACAUCCUUGCCGAGCCAGAUAAACAGCAAAGUGACAGCGACAGAGAGGUGAGUGAUAGAAGCAACAGCUCUUUAUAGGCUGGUAAUAAAACCUGGUCAAGUAAGGUUGUUGUUAUAUUAUCCAUCUGCUGAUGACCAGGCCUGC
rnacentral:lncRNA from 1 species